rnacentral:sRNA from 2 species
UUACAGGACCGGUUAAACUGAAAAAAAGUCCUAAUUUUCAUUAGGACUUUUUUGGUGGGGAGAGCAGGAUUCGAA